rnacentral:rRNA from 1 species
AACGGGUGGUAAUGCCGGAUGCUCCAGUUGAUCGCAUGGUCUUCUGGGAAAGCUUUCGCGGUAUGGGAUGGGGUCGCGUCCUAUCAGCUUGACGGCGGGGUAACGGCCCACCGUGGCUUCGACGGGUAGCCGGCCUGAGAGGGCGACCGGCCACAUUGGGACUGAGAUACGGCCCAGACUCCUACGGGAGGCAGCAGUGGGGAAUAUUGCACAAUGGGCGCAAGCCUGAUGCAGCGACGCCGCGUGAGGGAUGGAGGCCUUCGGGUUGUAAACCUCUUUUAUCGGGGAGCAAGCGAGAGUGAGUUUACCCGUUGAAUAAGCACCGGCUAACUACGUGCCAGCAGCCGCGGUAAUACGUAGGGUGCAAGCGUUAUCCGGAAUUAUUGGGCGUAAAGGGCUCGUAGGCGGUUCGUCGCGUCCGGUGUGAAAGUCCAUCGCUUAACGGUGGAUCCGCGCCGGGUACGGGCGGGCUUGAGUGCGGUAGGGGAGACUGGAAUUCCCGGUGUAACGGUGGAAUGUGUAGAUAUCGGGAAGAACACCAAUGGCGAAGGCAGGUCUCUGGGCCGUUACUGACGCUGAGGAGCGAAAGCGUGGGGAGCGAACAGGAUUAGAUACCCUGGUAGUCCACGCCGUAAACGGUGGAUGCUGGAUGUGGGGCCCGUUCCACGGGUUCCGUGUCGGAGCUAACGCGUUAAGCAUCCCGCCUGGGGAGUACGGCCGCAAGGCUAAAACUCAAAGAAAUUGACGGGGGCCCGCACAAGCGGCGGAGCAUGCGGAUUAAUUCGAUGCAACGCGAAGAACCUUACCUGGGCUUGACAUGUUCCCGACGGUCGUAGAGAUACGGCUUCCCUUCGGGGCGGGUUCACAGGUGGUGCAUGGUCGUCGUCAGCUCGUGUCGUGAGAUGUUGGGUUAAGUCCCGCAACGAGCGCAACCCUCGCCCCGUGUUGCCAGCGGAUUAUGCCGGGAACUCACGGGGGACCGCCGGGGUUAACUCGGAGGAAGGUGGGGAUGACGUCAGAUCAUCAUGCCCCUUACGUCCAGGGCUUCACGCAUGCUACAAUGGCCGGUACAACGGGAUGCGACGCGGCGACGCGGAGCGGAUCCCUGAAAACCGGUCUCAGUUCGGAUCGCAGUCUGCAACUCGACUGCGUGAAGGCGGAGUCGCUAGUAAUCGCGAAUCAGCAACGUCGCGGUGAAUGCGUUCCCGGGCCUUGUACACACCGCCCGUCAAGUCAUGAAAGUGGGCAGCACCCGAAGCCGGUGGCC